rnacentral:rRNA from 1 species
GGGUUGUGAGGUUAAGCGACUAAGCGUACACGGUGGAUGCCCUGGCAGUCAGAGGCGAUGAAGGACGUGCUAAUCUGCGAUAAGCGCCGGUAAGGUGAUAUGAACCGUUAUAACCGGCGAUUUCCGAAUGGGGAAACCCAGUGUGAUUCGUCACACUAUCAUUAACUGAAUCCAUAGGUUAAUGAGGCGAACCGGGGGAACUGAAACAUCUAAGUACCCCGAGGAAAAGAAAUCAACCGAGAUUCCCCCAGUAGCGGCGAGCGAACGGGGAGGAGCCCAGAGCCUGAAUCAGCAUGUGUGUUAGUGGAAGCGUCUGGAAAGGCGCGCGAUACAGGGUGACAGCCCCGUACACAAAAGCGCAUGUGCUGUGAGCUCGAUGAGUAGGGCGGGACACGUGGUAUCCUGUCUGAAUAUGGGGGGACCAUCCUCCAAGGCUAAAUACUCCUGACUGACCGAUAGUGAACCAGUACCGUGAGGGAAAGGCGAAAAGAACCCCGGCGAGGGGAGUGAAAAAGAACCUGAAACCGUGUACGUACAAGCAGUGGGAGCACAGGUUUACCUGUGUGACUGCGUACCUUUUGUAUAAUGGGUCAGCGACUUAUAUUCUGUAGCAAGGUUAACCGAAUAGGGGAGCCGGAGGGAAACCGAGUCUUAAUUGGGCGUUAAGUUGCAGGGUAUAGACCCGAAACCCGGUGAUCUAGCCAUGGGCAGGUUGAAGGUUGGGUAACACUAACUGGAGGACCGAACCGACUAAUGUUGAAAAAUUAGCGGAUGACCUGUGGCUGGGGGUGAAAGGCCAAUCAAACCGGGAGAUAGCUGGUUCUCCCCGAAAGCUAUUUAGGUAGCGCCUCGUGAAUUCAUCUCCGGGGGUAGAGCACUGUUUCGGCUAGGGGGCCAUCCCGGCUUACCAACCCGAUGCAAACUGCGAAUACCGGAGAAUGUUAUCACGGGAGACACACGGCGGGUGCUAACGUCCGUCGUGAAGAGGGAAACAACCCAGACCGCCAGCUAAGGUCCCAAAGUCAUGGUUAAGUGGGAAACGAUGUGGGAAGGCCCAGACAGCCAGGAUGUUGGCUUAGAAGCAGCCAUCAUUUAAAGAAAGCGUAAUAGCUCACUGGUCGAGUCGGCCUGCGCGGAAGAUGUAACGGGGCUAAACCAUGCACCGAAGCUGCGGCAGCGANGUUGGGUAGGGGAGCGUUCUGUAAGCCUGCGAAGGUGGCCUGUGAGGGUUGCUGGAGGUAUCAGAAGUGCGAAUGCUGACAUAAGUAACGAUAAAGCGGGUGAAAAGCCCGCUCGCCGGAAGACCAAGGGUUCCUGUCCAACGUUAAUCGGGGCAGGGUGAGUCGACCCCUAAGGCGAGGCCGAAAGGCGUAGUCGAUGGGAAACGGGUUAAUAUUCCCGUACUUGGUGUUACUGCGAAGGGGGGACGGAGAAGGCUAUGUUGGCCGGGCGACGGUUGUCCCGGUUUAAGCGUGUAGGUGUGUGUUCCAGGUAAAUCCGGUUCACUUUAACACUGAGGCGUGAUGACGAGGCACUACGGUGCUGAAGCAACAAAUGCCCUGCUUCCAGGAAAAGCCUCUAAGCAUCAGGUAACAUCAAAUCGUACCCCAAACCGACACAGGUGGUCAGGUAGAGAAUACCAAGGCGCUUGAGAGAACUCGGGUGAAGGAACUAGGCAAAAUGGUGCCGUAACUUCGGGAGAAGGCACGCUGACACGUAGGUGAAGUGAUUUACUCAUGGAGCUGAAGUCAGUCGAAGAUACCAGCUGGCUGCAACUGUUUAUUAAAAACACAGCACUGUGCAAACACGAAAGUGGACGUAUACGGUGUGACGCCUGCCCGGUGCCGGAAGGUUAAUUGAUGGGGUCAGCGCAAGCGAAGCUCCUGAUCGAAGCCCCGGUAAACGGCGGCCGUAACUAUAACGGUCCUAAGGUAGCGAAAUUCCUUGUCGGGUAAGUUCCGACCUGCACGAAUGGCGUAAUGAUGGCCAGGCUGUCUCCACCCGAGACUCAGUGAAAUUGAACUCGCUGUGAAGAUGCAGUGUACCCGCGGCAAGACGGAAAGACCCCGUGAACCUUUACUAUAGCUUGACACUGAACAUUGAGCCUUGAUGUGUAGGAUAGGUGGGAGGCUUUGAAGCGUGGACGCCAGUCUGCGUGGAGCCGACCUUGAAAUACCACCCUUUAAUGUUUGAUGUUCUAACGUGGACCCGUAAUCCGGGUUGCGGACAGUGUCUGGUGGGUAGUUUGACUGGGGCGGUCUCCUCCUAAAGAGUAACGGAGGAGCACGAAGGUUGGCUAAUCCUGGUCGGACAUCAGGAGGUUAGUGCAAUGGCAUAAGCCAGCUUGACUGCGAGCGUGACGGCGCGAGCAGGUGCGAAAGCAGGUCAUAGUGAUCCGGUGGUUCUGAAUGGAAGGGCCAUCGCUCAACGGAUAAAAGGUACUCCGGGGAUAACAGGCUGAUACCGCCCAAGAGUUCAUAUCGACGGCGGUGUUUGGCACCUCGAUGUCGGCUCAUCACAUCCUGGGGCUGAAGUAGGUCCCAAGGGUAUGGCUGUUCGCCAUUUAAAGUGGUACGCGAGCUGGGUUUAGAACGUCGUGAGACAGUUCGGUCCCUAUCUGCCGUGGGCGCUGGAGAACUGAGGGGGGCUGCUCCUAGUACGAGAGGACCGGAGUGGACGCAUCACUGGUGUUCGGGUUGUCAUGCCAAUGGCACUGCCCGGUAGCUAAAUGCGGAAGAGAUAAGUGCUGAAAGCAUCUAAGCACGAAACUUGCCCCGAGAUGAGUUCUCCCUGAGACUUAGAGUCUCCUGAAGGAACGUUGAAGACGACGACGUUGAUAGGCCGGGUGUGUAAGCGCAGCGAUGCGUUGAGCUAACCGGUACUAAUGAACCGUGAGGCUUAACCUUACAACGCCGAAG